rnacentral:rRNA from 1 species
CCCGGCGGCUCGAGUGUUUUCCACUACCCCUUGGCUUAAAGCGUUCGUAGCUGGCUUGUUAAGUCUCUGGGGAAAUCUUCCGGCUCAACCGGAAGGCGUCUCAGGGAUACUGGCAGGCUAGGGACCGGAAGAGGUGAGAGGUACUCCAGGGGUAGGAGUGAAAUCCUGUAAUCCUUGGGGGACCACCUGUGGCGAAGGCGUCUCACCAGGACGGCUCCGACAGUGAGGAACGAAAGCUGGGGGAGCAAACCG